UAGAUCGGAUCAGAGAGAAGAAGACAAACGAAGAAGAUGGAGUUGUGAUUUCUCAGUUCCGAAUGGCGGCCAUAUUGGAAUUUUCUUUACUGUCGCUAGUUUCACACUACUUGAUUUCUCAUGUUGCAGUAAGCUAAACGAUUUCAUCUCUUACGUGACUUGUUGUUCUUGCACGUAACUGUGUAACCGUCUGACUGAUAAAGAAGUUGUUAAAUGUCUUUACGUUUAGAAACAUAAUCAAGCAAACUCAUCCAAGCAGAUGCGAAUAGCCUACAAUGUCAGUACUCAAACCACCAGUAGCAGGCUUAGGACUAGAGUUUGCCAGUCAGACCACUACACCUUUGCCAGCACCACCACCCAGCAAGCUUCAUCAACUCCAGCCAUGCCGAGUUUACCAAUCAGACCUACACCUCUGUCAAAUUCGCUCACAACGCUGCCAGUAACACCCCAGCAAGGUAGAACUGCAUUUUCAUUAAUCUGGCACCAAUAUCAAGGGAGAAACAAGCCAUGAAUGUCUGUCACAACUUCUUUGCAUCUUUACUUUCCUUACAUCUGA